rnacentral:rRNA from 1 species
CUACGGGAUGCUGCAGUGAGGAAUAUUGCACAAUGGGGGGAACCCUGAUGCAGCAACGCCGCGUGGAGGAUGACGCAUUUCGGUGUGUAAACUCCUUUUAUAUGUCAAGAAAAUGACGGUAGCAUAUGAAUAAGCACCGGCUAACUCCGUGCCAGCAGCCGCGGUAAUACGGAGGGUGCAAGCGUUACUCGGAAUCACUGGGCGUAAAGGACGCGUAGGCGGGUUGGAAAGUCAGGUGUGAAAUCCUACAGCUUAACUGUAGAACUGCACUUGAAACUACGAGCCUAGAGUAUGGGAGGGGCAGAUGGAAUUAGUGGUGUAGGGGUAAAAUCCGUAGAUAUCACUAGGAAUACCUAAAGCGAAGGCGAUCUGCUGGAACAUAACUGACGCUAAGGCGUGAAAGCGUGGGGAGCAAACAGGAUUAGAUACCCCAGUAGUC